UCAACAGGUAUCCUGGACCAGGAGAACAUGGCUCUCAGACUUCUUACUGGGACUGCAAAGUGCACCAUUGGUCAGUGACUGCAUUGGCUGACGUCCUAAUUCUUGUGUGACUGGGUGGUGAGCGAUGAUCUGUAUUUUUCUUCAUUUACAAUUUUAUUCUAAGGCCAGUGAAAAGCUAUUGGAGGUUUUCCUGAGAAAUUGAGAUGGUCCUGGUAUCUGAUGGAGGAAACUGUGGUUGAUGGAGGCUCAGAGACUUGCCCCAGCUCAUACAUCUGGCAAAUGUUGGAACCAAGAUUCAAAUCAGUCCUGUCAGAGUCCUCAGCUGAUAGCUUUCCCUCCAUCCUUGCCUGCCCCUGAAGUCACAGGGCCAUAUUCUUCACGACUCUGUCAAGAUUUGCAAGUCAUGAAGUGUCUUUGGCUGGAAUUCUCAGUGCCCAUGCAUGGGCUCUGUCUGGAAAUCCUUGCUCUCUGUUGUAGCUGUUAGAUGAAUGGGUGCACGUGGAGCUUCUCCGCUCUGAGCCAGGAUGAAGGCUCCACUUGCUGCUCCUCUCCUCUCACAGGCACUGACAUUCUGCCACUUUCUCUGAAUUUAGUGAGGAUCCAAGCUUCAGAUUUAGUUCUGUUCACUUAAAAUGCACACAGGCCUCAGGUAACUGGAGGGCCCCUUCGGUAGACCAUACGGGGUCUAUUAAUAUCACCAAGGAGGCUUCUGGCAAAGAAUUCAUUUGAAGGUUGAAGGGUGUCAAGGAAUAUGUAAGUGUGAUCUAAGCUUUUGCUUCCAGACCAGAUGGGAGAG